rnacentral:lncRNA from 1 species
CUUCUAACAACUCUUCACGUAAGCAUACUAUACGACCCUUUUCCACGAACACAGAAAUGUUUAUGAAGAUAGGACCAAAAUCGACCUCGCUAUUAAAACAAGAUCCAGGAAAAAAAAAAAAAAAUGUAAACUCUUUCUUUCUCGCAGUUUAUGUUGAAUAGUCUUCAAAUUCAUUUAUGUAAAAAAAUUUAAAAAGAGAGUUCAUGUAUUCAACUGUGCAUUUAUGUUGAACUUGCCCCCUUGUUCGUGUGCAGGGUCAAAAGUACCUGAAAGAACUUGAAUGAUCAUAUCUUCAGCCGCAGAUGGUUUUAACAUACUAAUGCCUUCAAACAUUGAAACCGCACUUCCUGCAAAUGAAGAUUAAAAGAUUCAGCAGUAAAUGCCAUGGGAAUUUGCAUCUGCCAAUAUGUUUUUAACUUAGCACCAGUAUCCGAUCAAUGUGAAGGAUCAGUUUUUUCAGGAAUAUCUUUUUCCCCUGUCGUUGUAAAGUUAGACAAUUUUGUGAGUUGCUUAAAGUUAAGAGCAUAAUGGAAUGUGUUGUGACGAAAAUAUACUGCUGUUAUGUCUGAGAAUGGCAAAUUGAACUCUAGUUUUCAUUGGUUCUUCG